GGAAGUAAAAGUUGUAACAAGGUUUCCGUAGGUGAACCUGCGGAAGGAUCAUUACCGAGUGAGGGCCCUCUGGGUCCAACCUCCCACCCGUGUUUAUCGUACCUUGUUGCUUCGGCGGGCCCGCCGCAAGGCCGCCGGGGGGCAUCUGCCCUCUGGCCCGCGCCCGCCGAAGACACCAUUGAACGCUGUCUGAAGAUUGCAGUCUGAGCAAUUAGUUAAAUAACUUAAAACUUUCAACAACGGAUCUCUUGGUUCCG
rnacentral:misc_RNA from 1 species